ensembl:misc_RNA 7SK 7SK RNA
GGAUGGGAGGGCAAUCUGGCUGCAACGUCUGUUACGCCAUUGAUUCCACUGAUCUGGCUGGCAAAGCGGGUGUCCUCUUCCUCCCUCAUCACUCUAUGCGUGCCAAUAAAAUUAUUUUUUUAAAAAAAGGACUACCUCCCCCGAUAGAGACAGAGAGGGACUGUUUCCUCUGUCAAGGUGAGUAGCUGCACUUCUCUGCUAGAACCACCGAGCAAGCUCUUGAGGAUUGCCUGGGCUGUUCAGUAAGAUCAUGUCAAUAAGUGAGAUCAUAAACAUAAAGAAGACAUGGCGAGAUGGGGAAAAAAUGAAAACAAAGCUUUUGU